GCUUACGGCCAUACCAUCCUGGGUACCCCGAUCACGUCUGAUCUCGGAAGCUAAGCAGGGUCAGGCCUGAUUAGUACUUGGUUGGGAGACUUCUUGGGAAUACCAGGUGCUGUAAGCC
rnacentral:rRNA from 1 species